rnacentral:rRNA from 1 species
UACGUAGGGUGCAAGCGUUGUCCGGAAUUAUUGGGCGUAAAGAGCUCGUAGGCGGUUUGUCGCGUCGAAUGUGAAAACCCGGGGCUCAACUCCGGGCCUGCAUUCGAUACGGGCAGACUAGAGUUCGGUAGGGGAGACUGGAAUUCCUGGUGUAGCGGUGAAAUGCGCAGAUAUCAGGAGGAACACCAAUAGCGAAGGCAGCUCGCUGGGACGGUAUUGACGCUAAGGCGCGAAAAGCGUGGGGAGCAAACAGGG